rnacentral:rRNA from 1 species
UGGGGAAUAUUGCACAAUGGGCGCAAGCCUGAUGCAGCCAUGCCGCGUGUAUGAAGAAGGCCUUCGGGUUGUAAAGUACUUUCAGCGGGGAGGAAGGCGAUGCGGUUAAUAACCGCGUUGAUUGACGUUACCCGCAGAAGAAGCACCGGCUAACUCCGUGCCAGCAGCCGCGGUAAUACGGAGGGUGCAAGAGUUAAUCGGAAUUACUGGGCGUAAAGCGCACGCAGGCGGUCUGUCAAGUCGGAUGUGAAAUCCCCGGGCUCAACCUGGGAACUGCAUCCGAAACUGGCAGGCUUGAGUCUCGUAGAGGGGGGUAGAAUUCCAGGUGUAGCGGUGAAAUGCGUAGAGAUCUGGAGGAAUACCGGUGGCGAAGGCGGCCCCCUGGACGAAGACUGACGCUCAGGUGCGAAAGCGUGGGGAGCAAACA